rnacentral:lncRNA from 1 species
UUUUGCCCUAUCGCUAUAACCCAUGAGGAAUGCUUCAAUUGCAAUCAUUUCUCUUUCGGCUCUCCUGUUCACAACUUGCACGUGCUUAAUGCGGCACGCGAAUUCUCGCGGUCGCGUGGAGUUUUCAUCCUUUCAAUGUUCAUCUUAUGACCUCCGGUAUCGAUGUCGUGCAUGAUUCGUCAUCGCACCAUGGCGAUGUCAUCACAUCUAGAAUUUUUUGGGAAAGCAUUUAAAAUUUCAUCAUAUUUAUUAGUAUUUGGAUAGAUGAAAAAUAUUCCUGUCUUUUCUGAUAUCUUAAUACUGAAAAGAAUUUUAACAUGCAACACAAUUUGGCGCAGUCGGUAGUUCUUCUUUUUUUUGAAAAGAAUUUCUAACGAAAUUUAAUUCACGGAGGAAAUCAAUUCAUUUGAUCAUCGUUGAAGAAGGAAGUGGCAAUUUCACCUUCGGCAACCAGAAGAAAAAAACCUUGUGUGGCAGUCAUUCAAUCAAAACAAAAUGUCAAAAGGAACGUCCAACAUCGCUUUAUUAUCAAAAAAUGAAAGACCUUUAAUAGAUUUCAAAAGUUAACUAUUCAGAGUUCUUUAAUUUGCUAUCUAAUGAUUAAUGUGUUAAAGUAUUCACAUUAAUAGUUGCUGAAUAUCACACUCGGUUUUGUAAUAGUGUCUUAUGAAGACUGUUAUUACUUUUUUAUGGACUAUUAUCAUCUUUCAUCGACAUCUAAUUACUAUUUUUAAAACGCAAGUUUUUUUUAUAUAUAUAUU